rnacentral:rRNA from 1 species
AUACGGAGGGUGCAAGCGUUACUCGGAAUCACUGGGCGUAAAGCGCGCGCAGGCGGCUAUUUAAGUUGGAUGUGAAAGCCUACGGCUCAACCGUAGAACUGCAUCCAAAACUAUUUAGCUAGAGUGUGGGAGAGGAAGAUGGAAUUAGUUGUGUAGGGGUAAAAUCCGUAGAGAUAACUAGGAAUACCAAAAGCGAAGGCAAUCUUCUGGAACACUACUGACGCUAAGGCGUGAAAGCGUGGGGAGCAAACAGGAUUAGAUACCCUAGUAGUCC